CAAAGCCGGAACGCUGAAGGGACGAGAGGGCUCGUUCGGUGGGCAGAGCCAGGGCUGAAGCACCAGGCUCUGCCGCAGCAGAUCCCGGCGUGUCUCAGCUCCGCCUCCGGCCCUGGCCCCUUUCCCCGGCCCGGGUCGGGUCUUCCAUUCCACUGUUUGGCUGGGAGAGGUCGAAGACGCGCUGGGUGCACAGGGGGCUGGAUGCAGCCAUAAAUCUCUAUGCGGGACCUCCUUCCCGUUGCUCACACUCUGGUGCUCCUGGCCGGCCUCCCAUACGGACUUCACCGGGGGCCCUGCUCUCCUGGUCACAGCUUGGGGUCCCUGAGACAGUGCAGGGAGUCAAGCCAGGAGCUUCCCCGUUCACCAAAGAGAGAAACGGACUCACCCAUUCAGUGCCAUCACCUUCCAUCCCUGCAGUCGGCGGACCCCAGGCAGCCCGGGCCUCACCAGAUCGCAGCCUGGGGAAGGGCCCCCGGCCGGGCACUAGCUCCUAGGAAGGCAUACUCUGGACUUUUCGCCUCUCAGCCCUGAGUCGGCUCCCACAUCAGCCACCAGCUUUCGGCUUUGGUACAAAUAGCCCAACCAUGGGGAGAGCAGUAAUCGGCGGGGCGCUAGUGGCCGCCUGGUAGGGGCGGUGGUCUUUCUACCUGAACAGUCACGGAGCAUUUGGGGGACAGACCCAGAGAAGGUGCAUUUGCAAUAAUGUCUUACUGUCA